UAGGGAAUCUUCCCCAAUGGACGAAAGUCUGACGGAGCAACGCCGCGUGAGUGAAGAAGGUUUUCGGAUCGUAAAGCUCUUUUCAGUUCGGGAGGAACAAGUACCGUUCGAAUAAGGGCGGUACCUUGACGGUACCUAACGAAGAAAGCCCCGGCUAACUACCGUGC
rnacentral:rRNA from 1 species